GUAAAAAAUGUAUCAUUUCCUAUCUGCUUUACAGAUUGAAACCCUUGGCAGCAUGCAAUAUGUGUAUCAUUAUUAGAUGUAAAUAAUACAUUUAAAUACUGUUGUGAAAUUUAGAGGAAUAACAACUUAAAUUUUAAACAUUAGUAUAUAAUGUUUGCUCUCCAGUUACAAAAUAUUAAUGCAAUGCUUUAUAUUAAAGGCUUUAGUUUUUGGAUGGUGCUUCUAUUUUCUGUCACAGAAUAUGGUAAGUUCUUUUUUGUGAUGCUGCUUCAUAACUUCAGUUUAAUUUAUAGUGCAUACUAUAAAGUGGAUUAAGCAUAAGUGAAUUAAUGUGAUUUUUCUUUUCAUAAUGAAUUCAGUCGGUACUGAAGAGAAAAAAAUUGCACAUGGUCAACUGAGAUCCGUGGUAUUUCUACAUCCAUCAACACCCAAAAAUUUGUCAGAGGCAACAUGGAAAAAAGAAAACAUACUGGUGGGGAAAUUUAAAAAUGGCAUCUCUCACCCUUCAUAUAAAUAUAAAAACAGGGCUGAGAUUUUCAGAAAUGGAACCCUCAAACUCAACUGCAUCGUAAAAGAAGAUUUUGGAGUUUAUUUCCUGGAGCUAUAUGACAAAACUGGAAAGAAUAUUUUCAAGGAUAAUAUCACACUGAAAAUAGGCCUUCAGACUUUUAUAAACAUAUCCUGUCCAAUCAGUGGGAAUGAUGAUGAAAAUACCACAAAGAGAGCUCGCGGUUUACUUUUCAUCUGGGUGGGAAUCCAUGUUACAGUUGUCAUAUUAUCAUACAUUAUUUUAAACCUGCGGAAGAAAUUGGGAAAAAAGAGAAAAGAAGGAAACAGAGAACUCCAUUUUCACUUGAACCAACCAAGAGAGGCUGAGGGUCAUGCACAUAGGCUGGAAGAUGCAGAAAAGAACAUCUAUGUUGAAAUGCAUGUGCCGAAAAAUGUGAUUAAAGACGACAAA
rnacentral:lncRNA from 1 species